GGGGAGUGAGUGGAGAAGAAAAGGAGGAAGAAACAGAGACCGAGAGUGGGAGAGAGAGUGAGACCCUUCUUCAUAAAGACUGUUCUGUAUAAUAAUAUGUUAAUCAGGAAUGGCAUGUCCUUGCCUGGUCAGCCUGUCACUAGACAUGUUCCAAACAGCCUAACUUACUAUUCGAUUGAUGAGAACAGUAAUGGUCAGUAAACUAAGAGACUUAUUGGACAGUUUCAUACACCCAGAAUAAGUAGAUUUAGAGGUUAAGUUGUCAAUCAAGAGGAGUAAAUGUGACGACGUCUUUAACAGUACAUUAGAUUAAAGGGAAAGGGGGAUACCUAGUCAGUUGUACAACUGAAUGCCUUCAACUGAAAUGUGUCUUCCGGAUUUAACCCAACCCUUUUGAAUCAGAGAGGUGCGGGAGGCUGCCUUUAAUCGACAUCCACGUCUUCGGCGCCCGGGGAACAGUGGGGUUAACUGCCUUGCUCAGGGGCAGAAUGACAGAUUUUUACCUUGUCAGCUCAGUGAUUCGUACCAGCAACCUUUCGGUUACUGGACCAAAAAAGUGGCCACAUUUGGACAUGCCAAACCCCCCUACACAAACACAAACACACACAUACAAGAACACACACAGACAAACGCAUUGCCCUGAUCUGCUGCUAGCCUACCACCACACACACAGGAGUUGUCACCUUAUAUUUGUACCUGCAAGCCUGACAAGGAUGUGUAUGUGUGUUUGUGUUGGCGUGCGUGCGUGUGUGGGUAUGUGUGUGUACUGAUAUGCCAGCGGCCAACACCCCACCAGUUCCUGCCCACUACGAGGGGGAAAGAGAGAGGAGAAAGUAGAGAAGAGAAAGAAAAAGGAGGGAAGGAAGAGAGUGUGUUAUCUCUGUAAUUAAAGAAGUAGUGACAGGUUCAUUGUGGGGAUGUAGUGUGUAGGAAAGGGAGGGGUAAGGUGUGUGUGACUAAUUCCGAUGACUUGGUAUUUCAGAGAGAAUUCAAAUGUUUUACCUUUAGUUGCUUGGACCUUUUUGAAACACUGCUUUUCCCUGGUGGUGAACACACGCAUACGCACACACUGAACAGUGAACUUUACACUUUAGCUUUAAAUGUUAAAGGUGUGUCAAAUGUUAGCAGGGAUAAGGCUAGAGUAUGCAUCAGUGCACAGCAGAGAUCACACACACACACACAGACACACCAUUGAUGCCAUAGGUAAAGUCAGAGCCACUCUGUCUCUGCUGGUAGCCCUGCAGACCGCUUUCUAAGCGAGUGCCCCCCCCCUCUCUACAACAUAUGCUGUACACACAUCCACACACUGACACACACACAUUCCAGCAUAUGCUGGUUAGCUUACGCCAAUAUGCUUUAGUGGUGCCUGGGGGGACUAAAAGAUCAGAGACACACACACACAUAUUCCCAUCCACACACACACACAUCUCUCCCGGCUGUGCAGUUGGGGAUUUGUAAACAGCAGUACUUUUAGCGUUAGCACCAGUGAAGCAUAUGCCGUUUGUUCUUCUGCUGCUUGAGUUUAGUCUUCCUGAAAGGUUAAGCAUAGAGCACAUGAGAGAGCAGGCAAAGAGUUACACACACACACACUGCCUCUGAACACUUUCUAAUGUAAAACAGGGCCAAAUGAGACAAAUAAGUGGAAGAGAAGUGCUGCUGCGAUACUCAUUUUUUCUAACAGAUUUUCACUAGAAUACUUUCCUAGAAUAUACUUUCCCUUUUUUUAGGGUCAUUUUGUUUUUACCUUUUCUGUUUCUUUCUCUGAGUUGUACCCGGUAGUGGUUCGAGGGAAUUGUUUUCUUCACGCCAGAAACACCAACCAGGUCCUCUGUAGCAUCAAACUCAACGUCACAAACACUCUGGGUUAGUCACACACAAACAUACACGUUUAUGUGAAAAAUGGGGUGUCAUUUAGGCUAUAAUUAUAAAUACUAAGAACAUGUCUAAUGAAUAUCUCUCUCUCUCACACACACAUGUAACGGAUGUGAAAUGGCUAUCUAGUUAGCGGUGUUCGCGCUAAAUAGCGUUUCAAUCGGUGACGUCACUUGCUCUGAGACCUUGAAGUAGUAGUUCCCCCGGCUUUUGUGGAGCGAUGGGUAACGAUGCUUUGAGGGUGACUGUUGUUGAUGUGUGCAGAGGGUCCCUGGUUCGCGCCCGGAUAUGGGCGAGGGGACGGUCUAAAGUUAUACUGUUACAUUGAUGCUGUUGACCCGGAUCACUGGUUGCUGCGGAAAAGGAGGAGGUCAAAAGGGGGGUGAGUGUAACGGAUGUGAAAUGGCUAGCUAGUUAGCGGUGUUCGUGCUAAAUAGUGUUUCAAUUGGUGACGUCACUUGCUCUGAGACCUUGAAGUAGUAGUUCCCCUGGCUUUUGUGGAGCGAUGGGUAACGAUGCUUUGAGGGUGACUGUUGUUGUUGUGUGCAGAGGGUCCCUGGUUUGCGCCCGGAUAUGGACGAGGGAACGGUCUAAAGCUAUACUGUUACACACACACAUAAAAAUCAAAUACACACACAUUUUCUGUAUUAAUUUGCAAGAUUAAUGUGAUGUUAAUUAACAGAUGAUAAUUUAUCUUUUGAUGAGAGGCCUGCUGGUAUAGAGGAAACGUUCCUGCUGUGAGUGAGUAGAAGGUAAGUUACUCUUCUACUUACUACAUUAUUCCAAUGUGUACUUCAAUCCUACAUGGUCUUGUAUAGCUACAGGACGUGCAGGCAUUAGUUCCAGCCCUGCAGUAACGAUAGUGCUAGCGCUCUGCCACUGCAGCUGGAUUGGUAGAUUGGUUUGAGCGAAUUAGGGACAAAGUCGUUUGUUGCUGUGAUCAGUCACCGCUAACGAGCUUAGACAGUAAUCAGAGAGAGAAAGAGGGUUAAAGAGUGGAAAGGAAAAAAUUAGAGGAGUAGAAGUAGGAACGUGGUUUAAUUAGACUCUGGGAAAACACGCAGGAGAGACGGACAGAGCGUGUGUGCGUCUGGUGUGUGUGAACACAAUCACUAGGGAGGUGAGAAGUUUUCUAUGCAUGUUGUAUUUGCCUGGUCUCAGUUCAGCGCUAGGGGUCACAGAGGGACAGAGACAGAAACAGAGAGAGAGAGAGAGAGAGAGAGAGAGAGAGAGAGAGAGAGAGAGAGAGAGAGAGAGAGAGAGAGAGAGUGUUAUAUAAA